rnacentral:RNase_P_RNA from 1 species
GUUAGAGGGUAGGUUUCGGUAUAACUGAGGAAACUCCUCUCUCCUAUCAGGAAUGUGAUGUCGAGAGACAUAUUCAGAGAUGGAUGGCACCGGAGCAGAAACGAUAUCCAAGCUUGUUAAUACGAUGAGGAUGAAAAUCUGAGGUUUCAAGUGAUGGAAUGAAACGGCCGUCCCACAUGGAGCAAGGCCAAACAGAGUCAAAGAUUUCCUGAUUGAGACUUGGGUAGGCCGCUAAGCUAAAUCCUACCUGAAACAAAAAGAGGGUUAAGUAGC